UUGUCUUUCACUUUCUCAACAGUUUAAAAUUUCAAUUUUCUGAAAAAAAUCUGAGAUUCUGACGAGGCUAUACGCCUUUGUUUUGUGCAUGAAUUGCAGUAUUGUUGCAUGGUGAUGAGGCUCAAUAUUGACUGCGAUGCAUGCUGCAGAAAAGUAAGAAGGAUCCUCCUAAAUAUGAAAGUAAUAGAGACACAUUUGGUUGAGAAGCAGCAGUGCAAGGUGAGCGUGUGUGGGAGGUUUGUACCAGCAGAUGUUGCCAUAAAGUUGGGGAAAAAGAUGAACCGAAGAGUUGAAGUUAUGGAAAUCCAAGAGUCAGAUGGCAGCAACGAACAAAUGGAGCAAAGGGCUAUGAUUACUACCAGUAGACCACACCAAUUAUAUUGCUACUAGUAAUUGGCAACAAUUCAAAUGUCCUUUUUUUUCAUUACUUGUUUAGAAUGUCAAUGCUCCAAUAAAACCUCUUGUGAGGGAAAUUGUUCAUUGUGCUGAAAACACUGUUCGGUACACAAAGUAUUAUAAUAUAAUUGGUACUGGAAAAAAACUUAUUAUAA